AGUGAACGCUGGCGGUAGGCCUAACACAUGCAAGUCGAACGGCAGCACAGUAAGAGCUUGCUCUUACGGGUGGCGAGUGGCGGACGGGUGAGGAAUACAUCGGAAUCUACUUUUUCGUGGGGGAUAACGUAGGGAAACUUACGCUAAUACCGCAUACGACCUACGGGUGAAAGCAGGGGAUCUUCGGACCUUGCGCGAUUGAAUGAGCCGAUGUCGGAUUAGCUAGUUGGCGGGGUAAAGGCCCACCAAGGCGACGAUCCGUAGCUGGUCUGAGAGGAUGAUCAGCCACACUGGAACUGAGACACGGUCCAGGCUCCUACGGGAGGCAGCAGUGGGGAAUAUUGGACAAUGGGCGCAAGCCUGAUCCAGCCAUGCCGCGUGGGUGAAGAAGGCCUUCGGGUUGUAAAGCCCUUUUGUUGGGAAAGAAAAGCAGCAGGUUAAUACCCCGCUGUUCUGACGGUACCCAAAGAAUAAGCACCGGCUAACUUCGUG
rnacentral:rRNA from 1 species